UUUGAUUUCUUUUAUUGAUCAUUGUGUUGGUUUGUGUUAUUUUGGCAUUACAUCUUGCUUGUACACAUGUUUUGCAUCAAGUAUUGCUUUCCAUUUCCCAAAUUAUAGUGCAUUCCUAUGGUUUUCUUCACAUUUUUUUAAGUUUUUGGUCCAUGUUCAUCAAUGUAGUUCUUGCACCUCGUUGAUUCGUUUGAUGUGUGGUUUGUUUGAUUGUGAAGUCCAUAGCAUGUAGUUUUUAGGGAUGUGUUUGGAUUUGUGAUUUUGUCUCGUAUGUGCUUGGAAUUUGGUGCCGAAGUCAC
rnacentral:lncRNA from 1 species